rnacentral:rRNA from 1 species
AGACUUGGGAGUGCUCGAAAGAGAGCCAGAACACAGGUGCUGCAUGGCCGUCGUCAACUCGUGUCGUGAGAUGUUGGGUUAAGUCCCGCAACGAGCGCAACCCUUGUCAUUAGUUGCUACGAAAGGGCACUCUAAUGAGACUGCCGGUGACAAACCGGAGGAAGGUGGGGAUGACGUCAGGUCAUCAUGGCCCUUAUGGGUAGGGCUACACACGUCACACAAUGGCCGGGACAGAGGGCUGCCAACCCGCGAGGGGGAGCUAAUCCCAGAAACCCGGUCGUAGUCCGGAUCGUAGUCUGCAACUCGACUGCGUGAAGUCGGAAUCGCUAGUAAUCGCGGAUCAGCUUGCCGCGGUGAAUACGUUCCCGGGUCUUGUACACACCGCCCGUUACACCAUGGGAGCGGGUUCUGCCAGAAGUAGUUAGCCUAACCGCUAGGAGGGCGAUUAC